rnacentral:rRNA from 1 species
UACGUAGGGACCAAGCGUUGUUCGGAUUUACUGGGCGUAAAGGGCGCGUAGGCGGCAAUUCAAGUCAUCUGUGAAAUCUCCGGGCUUAACUCGGAACGGUCAGAUGAUACUGCUUUGCUAGAGUGCGGAAGGGGCAAUCGGAAUUCUUGGUGUAGCGGUGAAAUGCGUAGAUAUCAGGAGGAACACCGAUGGCGAAGGCAGGUCUCUGGGCCGAUACUGACGCUGAGGAGCGAAAGCGUGGGGAGCGAACAGG